AAUAGAUAGGUAAACUGGAAAUACACAGGAAAAGAGAUUCCCUAUGGAAGACAUGUAUAAUAGAAUAAACAGUUACCUGAUAAGAAUACUCCAAAAGAAAUUACGAGUAUGAUACCAAGAAGCUUAAAGCUGAGUUUCUCCAACCUUCAGAACAAAAUGAAGAAACCUUAGGAAUAUAUAACAUAUUUCAAAUAAAGCUAGGAGCAACUGCAGUGAUCAGCACAUGGCUCAUCUCUUCUCAAUACAAAGAGUAACUGGCAAAUCGUGGUCCAAAAUAUGUUUUGGAAGUUACAAGCUAGAAGAACUGGCGACAAAUUUAACACAAUUAGUCAUGCAUAUUCUUGCAUUUGCAGGUAUGCACUCAUAAAAUAAGUACUUAACUACUACAAAAUUUCCAUAUGCAAAAGCCAAUAUGGUUAAUAAAACAAAAAAAUGGUAAGGGGCGAAUAAGCUUUCAGUUAUUCAAAAAUGUAAACUACAAAAUUACAGAAGGAGCACUAAGUAAUAAAGUUGUCAAGAAUUGAUCAAAGUAAAACUCACCUAAAUGCAAAAGCAAACAGAAUGAGAAAAAUUGGACCAGCAGAUUUGCACUGCAUUACAGGUGACAAAGUUUCAAAAUUGUCAGGAACCCAAUUUAGAACUUGCCAAACUUUAAUUUAAUUAAGAAGAAAAAUCACCAUGGUAGCAAAUGUCACGGUUAUAAAAACAAGCGAUAUAUUGCUCAGAUUUAUAUCAAGAGCGGUGCCCAGAGCUGUUGGAACAACUGCAAAAAACAGAAACAGAAAAAGAAAUCCAUCUGUGGCUUUAGGUGCUCGAAUGAUCAGAUAGUGAAGAACUUAACUAAAACCACCAAGAAAAAUAAUCUUGUAACUAAUACGACAAUAAUACUUCAUUUUUAUCGCAAGUAAGUUUGUUCAAAGAGCUUAAAUACUACUAAAAACAUUUUUCACUAUUUGGUUGACGACCCUGACUCUCAUAACAGCCAUUUGAUUUUGUGACAGAAGCCACAUCAUAUCACAAAUAUUUGAAUUCACAUCUAGUUCUCUUGGUGCAAAUAGCAACAUCAGACAUGAAGUUUUGAAAGAAGGCCAAGCUGGAGCAUUAGAGGUGAGAAGAAAUGGAAGUAAGUUGGGCACUCAAACAACAAGUCGGAAUUUCAUUACAGAACAUCCCUGUAAAUGGCGCAUAAAAGAAGAAAGAUGAUAUCAAACAAAAUAGCUACCAAAUACCAGCAGCAUUGUUCCAUGGCUGAAAAUCAUAAGAUAGGCAUUACAUUAUAAAGGGAAUCCAGUUCAUACUGAGAAUCAACAGAUAUGGACAACCAUGGUGGCAAAGAAUAUGUGCUUUUGGCGUCUUUACACUAGUUGCCAUUGAGUUUACUUUAUUUCAGUUGAACCCGGACAUAAAUAUUGGAACAUAAACAUAACAGAAGUUAUUGCAUUACCUCGGAUAAAGUAAUCCUUCCAUGUCAUUGUAGCCCUGCUGUUUUGGGAGCCUCGAGAUUGGUAGUAUACAAUGGCCUUAGAUAACAGUGCUUGCAAUGUGAAAUGGAUAGUGGUCAUCAUAAAGGGAGCAGGAAACUUCCAGAGAUGAUCCCCCAACAUCUCCUUAUUAUAGCUAUUGUAACAAAGAAAGAAUCAGUCAGUAGCACCAAAAUCAAAUUUUUAUCUCAAGUAAACAGAGAAAUUACUUGAAAGGGAAUUAGCACUCACAGUGUUAAGCAAGUACUAAAAGUGUACCAGACCAGUAUAUAAAACAAUAUCUUCAGCACAAACCAUACCGAAAGUGAGCUUCCAGUGGAAAGCUCCACCUUUUCCAUCCCACCCAUUGUACUAUCAAUAUCCAAGGGUAAAUAACUCCUCCCUCCAUUUUCUGUGUUUGAUCUAAUGCUUUUUUGGCCAACAUUGUUCAUUCCCCUGGUUUCCUUCUCAGAAAACUCUUUCGCUGAUUCACUUCCUUGGAGCAACGGCAAUUCAAACUCCUCCGAAUCAUCAGCAGUGCCAAUCUCCACAGAUCCAUCAUCGGAAGGUCGGUCUGGGCAGGGGUUGCCAAACUCAUCGCACCACCGAGAGAACGAAGGCUCCUUUCGAAGCACCGGCCCACAACUUUCGCUCACAUGCCCAUUAAUCCCAGCAUCAGAAGCUGCUACAUCCUCUUCUUCCUUCGCCUUUACAGGCUCCAAAUCGCAAUCUCCCAUUUAAAGCAUGUUAUGAGGUGUAAAAAGAUUAAAAGAAGGGAUUUUGACAGAGAUUCCAAUGCAAAAGACCAACUUUGACCUAACCACAACAAAUCGCAUCAAAAAUCAUUCCUAGAUCUCGCUCCUCGUUCCUCAAUAGUGCGCCAAAACCCUAGUUCCGAGUAGAUCUCAGCAACAAGACUAACAAACUCACAGUGCAAGAGAGAUUGAUCGGGAAAAAGAGAACUCAAACCGAGCUUGGACCUGUUUACUAAGCCCCCAAACCGAUUCCGCUGCGGAUUACAGAUAAAGCGAUCUCCUCGGAUUCGCGAUCGCGAUUUGCUCCUCGAUCUCCGCCUCUGAGCGUCGUUUAAUUUGCCCCGGUGGAGACGAGGAAGGGCGAUUUUAGAGGGAUGUAAACGAAGAAGGGAGAAGGGAUUGAGUGGUGAAAAGGAGAAGGGGUUGGUGAGGGAGAAAGAGGAAGUGGGUGGGAGAGAAAUAGGUAAAAGGGUCGCGCACGCGAAAGCAAAGGAGAGUAAAAUUAAGUCUUCGUUUUUAGUUUCCAGGGAGUUACUCGAGCUCCCGCGCCCCCUCCGCUCGUUUUUUCAUUUUUUUUUUUUUGAAAGUUAAAUCUUUUAAUUAUCAUUAUUAUUAUUAUUAUUAUUAUUUUUUUUUGAAGUUGUCCGCUUUUAGGAAUUACAGUGAGAAAGUAUCAUAGACAAAUUAUUUAUUUGUUUAGUAAAAAUAUGAAAGGAGUAACCAAAAAAAAAAAAAAAUCCUAGUGGCUCUCUUUGCCUUUUCGAUCUCUCUAAUUAAGUCCAACUCAAUAUAACAUGAGUUUUCUAUAAUGAGAUUUAUGAUUUAUUUAUAAACUAUUUAAUAAUUAAAAAUAUAUAUACGUAUAAAUAUUUAUAUUUUAUUUAGAUCUGAUUUAUACUCAGUGUUAAGCUAGUAGUAUACAGAUAGUCAUUAUUUAAAUUUAUUUAAAUAAAUUUGAUGAAUAUAUUAGUAGCUUAAAUUUUUAAUAGGGUAAAAAAAAUGUCAUUGUAAGUUGCAGUAAAAAUGAGUCCAAGGGCGAAAUCAAUUUACAACUUAUUUUUUAUGUUUUUUAGUUAGGGAAAACAUAAAACAUGUAUAGAUCCAUUUAGUAGGGAUUACCACCCCGAUAAUAAAAGCCCGAGAGCCCGCGUCGCCUCACUCCCCUCUCUCGCCUAACCAAGUUGGAGUUGGAGCUUCUUCUCCAUCCCUCUCCUCCCUCCUCCCUUCUCCGUUACCCCCCAUGGGCACCCUCGGAGGCGGGGGCUUGUGGUGGCGAUUCCCCUCGUGCGGCGGCGGAGGCGGCGAUCGCCAGCGCCGGCGCCGCGGCCACCGGAGGCCGGGAUCAUCCUCGUCGGAGUCGAUAGGGUUCGGGCGUGAGGGGCGGCCCCUCUUCGACUUCCCCCUGAAGCAGGCGACGAUCGCCGCCUCCCUUACGCUCACCGGGGACACCGUCGCCCAGGUCCGAGAUCGCUUGGUGAGCUACUUCCAUGGCGAACGAGACGAAGAGAACAAGGUCGAUUGCUUAUACUCUCUCUCUCUCUCUGAACUUUACAUUCUUAGGGUUGUUGAAAUGUUGGAAACCCUAGUAUACCUUAUGAUUUCGAAGUUUAGGGCCGUCGUUGAUUGUAGUUAUUUAUCAUAAUCGCUUUCCAAAUUAGGGCAGCUUCAGUGUUGGGGCUAAGAUUUGCCCGUUUAUAUCCCAAUCCGAAUGAGUCAUUUAAAUUGAAAUUUCCGUUGUUGAUUGUAGUUAUUUAUCGUAAUCGCUGUACAAAUUAGGGCAGCUUCAGUGGCUAAGAUUUGCCCGUUUAUAUCAAAAUGAGUCAUUUAAAUUGGAAUUCCUGCAUGAGGAUUUAAGAGUUCCUUGAUAGAAGAUCUGCAACUGAGCUUGAUUGCUUUUCCUUCUUCAUCCGAAUCUAAAUUAGCCAAAAUGAUAACCAUUUGAAUCAAAAAGGUUAUCAUAUUGGGUCCAAAUAGGCUAUGUUUUUGAAAGUUAGAAACUAAUUUAGGGGAAGAUCAUUAGGGACUAUCUCUUACUGUGGAUUCGUUGACUGUCGAUGGUGGAUAAACUGCUUGUUGCACUUUGUCAUUGCCUAUUAAUUCUGAUGCCUGUAUUAAUGGCUUCUCAAAAUGUGAUGUGCUGUGAUAGGGUAUGUAUUUCUUUCUCGAGCAUGAUGGAUUUGCUCCCAAAGUUUAAGGAGAGCUGCUUUGGUAACGCCAAUUUAUAGUCAAUUCUUCUGCGAACAUUAUGGAUGCUCACGUAGCACUUCUCGGCCUCCUUCUUGGAGGUUAUGAUUUGGAAAUAAGAACCAAAAAAGAGUAAAUAUAUAAAUUUUGCUAUCAUGACUGCUUUUGGAGUCCGGUUGAUUCUCUCGGCCUCUGUCUUCGAGGAGAAUCGGGCAGAUGCUCGUAACUAAAAACAAACAGCUUGCUUCUACCUCCUUAAAACACGCAAUGAAUUUCUUAGCAGAUUGACGUCCUCUUUGCUUCUUCAGUGGUCACUGAUAACACCUUUGUACCGACACUCUUAUGAUGUUUUUAUUAUUAUUCUUUCAUAAUAAAAAUCUUUUUUAGCCAGCUAUUUUUCCGAACUUCUUUUUUUGUGCUCAGUAUAUAUUGGUCCCUUUGAAUAACUUGUUAAUUCUCUGCAUGUAUACCUUUUAUCUUGCAGUGCUUUUUUUUCUUUUUUUUGGUAAAGGCUAAUGACUAAGCUCUGAUGUUCUUUUUGCACUGCCACUAUGAAUGCUAGGGAGUUUGCAAUUGAAGGAAUUAUUCUGCACUCUUUCAUGAUGUUAAUCUAAUUUAAUAGUUUCUGUAGUUUAAAAAACCAUUUAUCCGUACUCUGCCACACAUAACUGCUUUAAAUCUCUUUUCUUUUUUUCUCUUUGCAUUGGUAUGUUUCUCUUCAGAUUUAUCAUCUGUUAUCCUUCUUACCUCACGCUCAGCUUUUCAACUUGUUAGAUCUGCAUUUUAUUUGCUACAUUACUCUGGAAAUUACCUCUAUGUUAGUCUUCCAGGAGUUGAUAUCAGUGCUUCUAUUGAAUCAUGACUGGCUUCGUGCACUUCGAAUGGCAUCCUAUGGGUUUCUUCUUUAUGGUCCGGGUUCUUUUGCAUGGUAUAAAUUUCUUGAUCAAUGCAUGCCUAAGCCAACAUUCUUAAACCUGUCGACGAAGGUAAUAUUUUUUUGUUUUAAAUCUUGAAUUCUUUGCGGUACUUAUGGUUACUAUGUCGUCGCCACUAUUUGUUAUCUUUCCUUUUCAGGUUAUAUUAAACCAGAUUGUACUUGGUCCAUGCGUUAUUGCCGUUAUAUUUGCAUGGAAUAAUUUAUGGCUAGGAAAGAUAUCGCAGCUACCAUCCAAAUAUCAGAAGGAUGCCCUUCCCACUCUACUGUUUGGUGAUGAGCUUUUUGAUAUGUGUUUCUACAUUCCUGUCAAAUAGGAUUGAAUUUAAUUAGUCCUACUUCCCUUAUCUUUUUCAGGAUUCAGAUUUUGGAUUCCCGUUUCCAUCCUUAACUUUGGGUAAAGUGAAUUCGACCUUUUUUUUGUUUCUUAUUGCUAUAGUUCUUUGGCACGGAAAAUAAACAUUGUGAUCGAUCUAUGUGUUGCUGGUAUUCGUUAGUCUCCUAAUAAUUUGAUGACUUUACGUUUUUAUCAAUUGUUUUUUUGAGUCCUUCGUCAUUUCAUGUUUCAGAGUGAUUCCUCUCUCUGCUCGCGUUGCGUUCAUGUCGACCUGCUCCAUAUUUUGGAACUUCUACUUAUCAACAACUAUGAGCAAAUAAUAUUUUUACACCCAUUUUUUUAGCAACUUCCACCUGGUGAUUUUUAUAGCUUUGAAAUAUAAGGUAAUGGCUUUUGCUUUCUUUUUGUCACUGAGAUUUAGUCUAUUGACUUCUUUUUAUUUAUUUAUUUUGUUAACGGGCAGGAUUGGGAUCGAAUCAAUACUCCACAGCUGCUAAAAGGACUCUUCGUGGCUACAAAUAUUGUUGCGACUUAUUUAGACUUGAGAGCAUUGUUUUGUAGUAUUCUUUUCUCGCCUAUAUGUGUUGUGGUCGUAUCUUAUUACAUUUUUUUUUUCCUACAUUAUUUUUUAGUAUUUACAAUACUGGACAAGUUGCUGUUUUUUUGUUUGCCCCUACAUGUUCUUUCCAUGCGUAAUAGCUUAAAUUGUUUUAUAUCAAGUGCAAACAAUAAAUUUUUUUCAAAUUGGACGUGAUGUACUGCAUUUAACAUUUGAAUUCGAAGACAUUUUUUUGUGCAAUCAUAUAUAAAUUUUCAAAUUAAAAUGAUAAGAAGAAUGUCUCUGGUCAUCAGUUUUUGUGGGAUUCAAUAAUAGAUAAAUGGAUUGCUACCUAUAUUGGUGUAUGUAUUAGAAAAAAUGACUCUCUACUACAUGUAUAGGCGUAAAGAUAUCAAAAAAAUUUCGUUCAAAUUUUAAAUUUAAACGUCCGCGAUGAUCUAUAGCAGUUCGAUCUUAUUGUUACGAUGUAAUAAUUCUCUGCCCCCCCGAAAAAAGAAAAGGAAAAGAAAGAAACUGUUACCCAAUCAGUUUAUAUAUAUAUAUAUAUUAUAUAUAUAUAUAUAUAUGAGGCACACGUGUUACGUAAAGAGAGCAACUCGUUUUCCGAAUAUUCUCGAGCGAGCCACACUGCAGCCGACCGUGACGGAGCCUAGAGCGCUACUGGCUCUGCCACGUCAUCAUCCCUUCCUUUUUCCGAACAAUUCGAACGCCUUUCCCUUUUCGUUGCACAACUCCCAAACACACUUCUUCUUCUUCUUCUUCUUCUUCUCUCCCACGUCCACCCCAUCCACCAUUUUUCCCCCAAUACCCUAGACUCGAAUCGCACGGAGCAAAACCCUAGGGCUCGUCUCCCUCUUCCACCGCCACAAUGAACGUCUUCAGAUUCGCCGGGGACAUGACCCACCUCUUCAGCGUCCUCGUCCUCCUCCUAAAGAUCUACGCCACCAAAUCCUGUUCCGGUUCGAAUCAAGGGUUUCUGCCCGUCUUGCAAUCUCUAAUCCGAUCGUGAUUGUUUUGCAUCUAAUUUUUACGUUUUUUUUUUUUUUUUCUUUUUAAUGUGUUUAGGGAUCUCGCUCAAGACGCAGGAGUUGUACGCGCUUGUGUUCUUAACCCGCUACUUGGAUCUGCUCACGGAUUUCAUAUCCUUGUACAAUACUGUGAUGAAGCUGGUGUUCAUAUCGAGCUCGCUUGCCAUUGUUUGGUGCAUGCGAGCUCACCCCGUGGUGCGUAGGACCUACGACAAGGACCAGGACACGUUUCGGCAUUACACGCUCGUCGCCGGGAGCUUGGUUUUGGCGUUGCUCUUCCACGAUCGCUUCACGAUUCGAGAGGUAAAAUUUGCUUAAUUUCUCCGUCCUAGGGUUUUCGCUUCAAUUUUGGAUACUAUACUUUGGUUGACAUGGUUUAAGAAUGCUAGAAUUGGGGCAUUGUUGUCUUAUUUGGUAGUAAUGGUCUCUGUAUUGCUGUAUAUAACUGGAAAAGGUAUCAGAAAGCAUUCACAUAAGCUGGGAAAGUACCGAGAUCACGAGUAUGAUGUUCUGAUUAUUAUGUCUAGCUUAAACCUUGAUUAAAAUCCAUAUAGUGAGCAUUGCUGGUGAAAAUGAGUUAAUUCGGAUAUUGGCUGCUAUUGGACUACAAGAUUCAUCAGUUGGCGAUGUCUGAAGUUUCUGCAAAUCCUCGUACCAGUUGAAAAUCUCUAACUUGCUUUGCAUUUUACGAGAGGGCAUUUUAUCAUCCUGUAAAAGCUACACUGAAUAUGAAAGGAGUAGAAAAGGGGAAGAAAGACAGGGUAUUGUUUCUUUCAGAAUUUAAUCGAAUUCUAUGAGAGGGCAUUUUAUCAUCCUGUAAAAAUUAAACUGAAUAUGAAAGGAGUAGAAAAAGGGGAAAGAAAGACAGGGUAUUGUUUCUUUCAGUAUUUAAUCGAAUUUUCAGUAUUAGUUCUGGAAACUUCUUCCUGAAAGGUGAACUUUCUAAAAGGAGGUUAGCUAAGAAAACAUAGCUAGGUUCUCCUUGAAUGUUCUAUAUUUAUGAACUUCUUUAACUAUUUGUGUGGUCUCAUAUCUAACACCUGAGAGGUUGUUUGAAGAUAUUAAUAUCUAGAAUGCAGGCCAUCUCUAACUCGAUGUACCUGUAUCUGAAGUUCGUAAGCUACUUUUGUCCUUUUUUUUUUCUUUUUCUUCUUUUUGGGUUAAUUAUCCAUUGCAUUUAUUCAGGCAUAUGAUGUAAACAGAUUUUUAGUGCAUAUAUCGUAUUGCAACUUCAUGAACAAGUGAAUAUGGAUGGAAUACAAGGGACGUGAUCCCUUCAUUUCUUCUUUCUGCAUUUUUGCCAUAUAUUUAGAUUUAACAUUUUACGAAUAGUUAAGGUUAGACCAUAUAGCGCUGUGCUAUAUGCUUUAUGGGUAUGAUCACAACUCUGCAUUACUAUCCUUCAUAUCAGAAAACUAUUUUUUGGCUUUGUGGUCCAUAAUGCAGGUUUGUUGGGCAUUUUCCAUAUAUUUGGAGGCAGUGGCUAUACUACCCCAGUUAGUUUUGUUGCAGAGAAGUCGAAACGUGGACAAUUUGACUGGACAAUACGUUUUCUUUCUUGGGUAUUGUUUAACUUUAUCCAAGCUAUGCUGAUCCACUUUUAUGUUAGCGUACUAUUGUGUACUUUUUCUUUUUUAUGAGAAUAAAUAGAUUGAAAACAAUGGCAUAAAAUGGAAAGUUUUGGGUGGAAAAUAUGCAAAAAGAACUACAAUUUUGAUAUGUAGUCGACUGUUUGGUCAGUUUUGGUAGUGGCUUAUCAUAUGUUAUUGCUACCUGUCUUACAGGUGCCGUAGGCUGUAGCUUACUAUGUUAUGUCCUAUGGAUCUUUCGUGUUUUCUUUGUUGUUGUCAGCAUCAUUAUAUUCCAAUCUAGAGUCGACAAGGAAAUGAAGCCAAGUGAAAUCAUGCAUGAGAGGGGCUUAUCACUAUGGCUCUUGAGCUAUCAUGUGUUUAGUGUUAGCUAAAAUGGAACAUAUCGCGAAUCGAGCUAGAAUACUUUGAUAAGUAUUUGGGCCUUUUAACUUCUAGAUUUGUAGCCCUUGGAUGAAGGAUUGUGGGGUUGGGAUAAUAGUGGUCUCCAUAAGAUCUAGUGGUAGUUGGUGGAAUAGUAUUGAUCCAAAGGUGAAAAAGAUAGAAGUAAAAAAGGGCUAAUACUUAUAAAAGUAUUCCAGCUCAUUUCUCCUAUUAUAGUAUCAUUUAGAAUCUUCUAAACUUACCGUACUAUGAUGGAGCUACACGGUGUAGAGAAUUCUGUUAUUUUUUUUAUUAUUCCAGGCGGGUUAUUAAUGAAAGUAGCUUGCAGAAAGCCAGUUUUUAACAUGCCUGAACUUUAUUCAUCAGUUUUGUGCUUAUGUUUCUGAUUGUGUUAUCUAAAUAAAAAAAAAUUUUGUUGAUGGCUGUUUUUUUUUAAUUCAUCGUGGUAGGAAUUCAUCAGUCUGCUUUUAUGAAAGAGAACUUCUAUCUUGUAAACCUGUUGCACACUGCACUGAUUUGCAUGAAAGGUGAAUAAGUAGGUUUUAGUAUUUAAUGGCUAAUCUUGAGACCUUAGGCCAUAAACGAUGGACAUCCCCAACAACUGCUUAGUGUUGCUAUAUGACUUGGUCUAUUUCUUUGAACUCGACAAGCUGCUUCAUAAAGAACUCUCUAUCAUCAGAGAAAAUUCGUCAGACACAAUAUCCAGAUAAAUCAGCAAAUUCUUCUGGCUGUUAAACAUGUCUACCUGUCGCUUUUCUUGCUUUCUUAAUUCCUAAUUUUAUAUCCUUUGAUCUUCAAUUCUUCAGGGCCUAUCGUGCAUUCUACAUUCUUAACUGGAUCUAUCGCUACUUCACAGAGCAGCAUUUCAGCCGAUGGAUACGUAAGUUUACUAAUGUUUAGCUAAUCUGAUAUAAGCAAGUGAUUUUUAAUCCGAUAUAUUCUUAAUUUCAGCUUGGAUUGCUGGCCUUGUCCAGACCGGUUUAUACGCCGACUUCUUCUAUUACUAUUACUUGAGGUGAGCUGCUUAUUGCAACCUGUGUGACCUAAUUUAGAAGAGCUAAUUAUUCAGUCACAUAAUCCUUGCACAAAUGAAUUUUGCAGCUGGAAAAACAAUGUGAAGCUUCAACUACCUGCUUGAGCUUGAUGCGGCUGCAACUACUACAUGCUUUUUGGUAAAUGACAUGAUUUCUUGAUUGGGCAACUUAACUUGGGUCGAAAACAGGUGAUUCCAUAUCGAAGAAUAUUUACGGUGUGAUAUUUGGGGUCCUUGCACACAUUUUCUCACAAUUAACUACACUGCCACUAGAUCAGGAUUUUGAUUUGUUGUAGCGCCUGUUGUCCGAAUUCUUUGUUCACUAAUUCAAUUCGCUAAUGCAAUACUAAUUCACAGGAAGUAGGACUCAGUUUUUUUUCACGGCGCGAUCUCUUGAUUGUUACAAUUUGUCCAUUUUCUCUUUCCUUUUUUUUUAAAUUUUCAGAAGUGCAUUUGUAUCAGAGGUUGGUAUACCUUGGGAGAUUAGAUACUGUUAUUUGCAACCACAUCAGAUAAUUCUUUUGUGUUUGUUGGCGCGAAUUUAUUUGCCGCAGAAGAGAGAAUUAUAGUAGGAAAAAAAAAAAGGCUAAGAAAGAAUCAUGCAGGUGUGCAACUUGGUCGUUAAAAAAAAGAGUUAGUUGAGCCUAUGAAUUUUUCUCCAAUCGCAUAGUGUUGAAUAUCUAAGGAUGAGUAUCUCUAGUUUCUAAACAUAAUAAAGAGUUUGGUGUGAACGCCACAUGCAAAAGCAAUUGUAGUUCGAUUUUUUUAAGGCUUAGUUUGGUAUUGAGAUCUGUCUAGCGCUAUUAGAUAAAAUUGAGUUGAAAAAAAAGUAUAUAGGAAUAUACUUCUGCGUUCUCCGGUGGAACUGCAAAAUAUAUGCGAAAUUCAAUACUACGUACGUAAAAAAAUAUUUUUUAUAAUAUUUUUUUAAUAUAUUUUUUUACUGCACGUAACGCAAUCUCUCCCCAAUUUUAAAUGAAGCCUUCGGAUUAUUGAGUGCUUAACUUUUUACUCCCCUCUUCUCAAACUCAAGAUUCCUGUAUGGAUUUUAACAUUAAAAUAUCAAGCCAUUAUCGUGAUUUAUACUUUUGUUUAUUAAUUAAAUACUAUCAUUAUAGUUUGUAAAGUAUUAGAAAAUUUAUUUUUAAAUAUAAUAUUAAUCUAAUUAAAAAAAUUUUAAAAAAAUAAAAAUUUCUGAGCAAUUAAAUAGCACCGACGAGAUUAUUGAGGUCGCUGCGGACUCAGGAGUCAAAAUCCGCUGAUGUGUCGUGGACGGUGAAAUUGAAUUCCUCGUGCACAAUUUUAAUUGGCUUAAUCGACAAGCUGGUGAGUGCAUUAUUGGCUAUUUAUUGUUGAGCUAAAAAAAAUUUCAAUAUUCUACUCCGUGACAAUAGACACAGAAAACUAAUAAAUUGAGAUGAGUGAGUCUAAUAAGCUGAGUAAAAGUGCAGUUUACAAGAGAGCUAACGGCAAGAGCUUCAAUAAUAAACCCAACGUUUAAUGGAUUGAGUCAGAUUGAAUUCCGCGAACGCUGUGGUUAAGCCUUUUAAGUGCGAUGGAUGCCUCCUUUUUAUCAACAAGUAUUUUUGGAAUAAUUUGUUAGUGAUUACGAUCUAUAUGUAUGAUCAUCUAAAACGUGGCGUACUGAAUAAUUAUAAAGAAACAUUAUAUUCCAUAUAUUUCAUAUUAUUAUCAAUUAAUACCACGUUUUGUCACAGCCCUAUUUUCUUUCGCUGUUGCGUGUAAUUCUAGAAUUCUCGGUUCAGAAGAUCUUGCCAAAUUUUCUCCAAGGAAAACAAUCGUGUGCUUAAGCCCUUGUUCACCACAACGCUCUUUUACUUAUUUAAAUAUUAAUAAUGUAAUGUUAUAUAAAAUUAGAAAAUUCUAUCGAUUCCACAAAGACACGUUCACAAUCAUAACUUUUUGUUCCUUCUUUUGUGGGUUUUUUCUUUUUCCCUUUUCCUUUUCUCUUCAAUUCGAGUCAAAAAUAUGCAAUGCAACAAGAAGGUAGACUUUUGUUUUGGGUAAACUAUACCACUGGGUCCUGAACUUAAAUUUUUCCUCACAUAUUUUAUUUUUAUUAUUAAUUGAGUUACAAUUUUCUUAAUGCAAAAAUUAGAUCUAUGAAUUGAAUAUAUGAGAUGCAUGGGGAAACGAUGGAUUCAUAUUGUACGAACAAGCAGAUGAGCCAGAUGGAAGCACUAGUUUUCAAUCUGAGAUAAAAACUAAAAUGAAAUACUUUUUGAAUUUAGGGAUUAAAUUCGGAGUUUCAAAUAUUGAAAUCAAAAGUUUGAGGACUAGCACUGCAGUUUAAUUUUUUAUUUGCACUAGAUUUUGCUCUUUAAUUACCUGUAAAGCACGUAAUUUGGCAGCCACACUUGCUAAACUUGACCUAAGUGUGGGUCCUCAAGUUUUACUUGUUACCAUUUAGGCCAUUCUUGUGUUACAAUUAAUAUGGACUAUUUUCUAUUAAUUUGAUAUCUUUUUUGGGUAACAUAGUAUAGAGAUUUCGAUAUCCAUCAUUUUCAUGACAUAUAUAUUUAUGUGCAUGUGACAUGCAUUACAUUAUAUACAUAUAAUUCAGAAAUUUUACAUGAUCUAAAAUAUUUUACAUGACCCGUACAUAACACAUCUUAUAAAUUUUUAUCAAUAAUAUUCCGGCCGAACUUAAAAUAGGAAUAUUAUAACUAGAUAUUGUGUGUCAAUCUCUAUUAAGUUUGUGUUAUAUAAUCCUUGGGUUAUGGUGUCAUUAAAUUAAGUGUGGGGAGAGCUUUCUCAUUAACUCACACUUUACCCCUCCUCGUUGUUGUUGUUCCGGAUGUUUAUGUCCAUGUUUUUAAAUUUUUUUUUUUUUUUUUUUUUUUUUUAUUUUUUUUUUUUUUUUUUUUUUUUAGUUUGUUGUUAAUAACUUAAUGAGUAAUUAUGUACUGUUUACUCAUCCAAACUGGUAAACAAACCACUCAAUUUUUUAACUUGUACUUUCUCUUCGGGUUUAUUUUUUUUUCUUUUUUCUUCUUCUAUAUAUAAGUUUUUAUUAUAUAGGCGUUUAAAUUCGGCUGGUAAACUUCAGUUGUUAUAUAUAGUUAAGUUAAGAGAAAAUAAAUAAAUACAACAAAGAUCCCAAAAGAAGUAAUNNNNNNNNNNNNNNNNNNNNNNNNNNNNNNNNNNNNNNNNNNNNNNNNNNNNNNNNNNNNNNNNNNNNNNNNNNNNNNNNNNNNNNNNNNNNNNNNNNNNNNNNNNNNNNNNNNNNNNNNNNNNNNNNNNNNNNNNNNNNNNNNNNNNNNNNNNNNNNNNNNNNNNNNNNNNNNNNNNNNNNNNNNNNNNNNNNNNNNNNNNNNNNNNNNNNNNNNNNNNNNNNNNNNNNNNNNNNNNNNNNNNNNNNNNNNNNNNNNNNNNNNNNNNNNNNNNNNNNNNNNNNNNNNNNNNNNNNNNNNNNNNNNNNNNNNNNNNNNNNNNNNNUAGAUUGAAUACUUAAACUUAAAUUUAAUUUAAAAUUAAAUAUAUUUUACAAUAAGUUUAAAAUAAAGUUUGAAUUUAAUUUAAAUACCUAAGUUUAAUUUUAAAUUUAACAUUAAAAUUUAAACUUAAACUUAUUUAGUUUUAAAUCAAAGUAUAAAACUUAAUAGGUGAGUUGAAGUUUCAAAUUAAAAAAAAAAUUUUUUUUAUCUAAAUUUUAAAACUGUAAUAAAGUUUUAAAACUACAUUUAAAAAUUAUAAAUUAAAAAUUAAACUUAAAUUUAAUUAUAUAAUAUUUCUAUUACAAUCAUAUAAUUAAACUAAUGUAAAAAAUAUAGGUGGACUUGGUUUGUGGCUGUUACCCUUACUAAAUAAGGCUAAGGCUAAGUCCACUACUUGGUUUGUCUUAAUCCAUUACUCAGUAAGGCUAAGGCUAAGGUCGAAUAAAACUAAGGCUAAGGCUAAAGCUAAGGCUGAAGCUUGGUUUGCGCGGGUAUCCUAAUUAAAGUAUGUCGAGGCACAUUCGUUUAUAUAGCGAUGUUUUAAAUUGAAAGUUGAAAAUUAUAAAUAAAGGCAUUUUUAAGUCACUAUAAAUAUAAAUAGGGAGAACAAUAACCGCAUUCUCGUGAUAAAUAAAAAAUUAUUUUAUAUUUAUUUUACUAUAAAAACAGUAAUGUUUAUAUAAAGAUGUUUUCGAGGUUGACAAUCUUAAUAUGUCUUUAUAGGAGAUUUUUUAAAAAUACCAGUAGAAGAAGCAAAGUUGGUAGUGUUUAUUAUAUUCUCUCUAUUUUUUCAAUUAAAUUGAGUAAGUGAUUAGUAUUAAUUUAUAAAAUGGAUACUAAUUGAUAUAUAAAAAUUACCUAGGAUCGUCUUCCCCAUAUAAAUUUUUAUACUCCUAAAAAUAUCUUUUUUUAUAUUUUUAAUUUAAAACACACCUAUAUAAACAAUAAGCUAUACAAAUAUCUCUUGACAUGCGUAUAAUAUUAAUUUAUUUCAAUUUUUUCUUCUUCUUCUUCUUCGUCGUCGAGUUAAUAAUUAUGAUAUAUUUACUCAAGAUUCACCCCGUACAACAAGACGUUUCCUGUUUUGGUAAGUGGCCAGGGAACUCUAGUGAGGUGUGAGGUGUUGUAGGUAACUCAUUUUGCUAUGCUAACAUGACAAUUUAAACGUACGUUCCUGAUAAUUAGGAAAAACAAAACAAAACCAAACAAAACGAUCCGCUUCAAUUAAUGGUGAUAAUUAAGUGCAAGUAACCACCCUUUUAAAACAGAAAUAACGACACCUUCACCAGGGUUUCAUAGUUGAGCGUAGUGACAUGAUCUUAGUACAGAGGAACGUAAAAAUAUUAUUAUUAUUAUUAUUAUUAUUAUUGGUAUGUAUAUCUAUAAAUAUAUAUAUAUAUAUAUAUCUCUCUCUCUCUCUCUCUGUCUCUUUUUUUUUUUUACGACCUGAUAGUUAUCUUUUGCUGAGUGAAAUAACGGCUAAGUAAAAAAUUAAUAUUUAUAAUUUUAGUUGCUAGCUGCAGCGAUUUAUAUUAAAUAUAUGUCAAAAUACUUGAUUAAAUUUUAAUUGUUAAUUUAAGUUUAAAUUAAAAUUUAAAAUUAUAUAUUUAAUUUUAAAAUUUUAACUCAUAUUUUAAUUAAAAAGUUGAAAAAAUAAAUUUAAUCCGAAUAAAUAUCCAUUCCGUCCGGAUUCAACUUUCAAUCCGGCCUCCUAGGCCGGAUUGAAAAAAAAGGUGAUUGGGGGAUUCUCAUUCCACUCGGGAAUCGAAAUCGGAAUGGAACUCCCGCGUACCAAACACCCACAAACGGAUUUAUCCAUUCCGAUUCCAAUUCCAGGGUGAAAAAGAAGCGAACCAAACACGCCCCUAUUGUUUAUCGAAUAUUAGUAUUUUUUAGUUUUAAUUUUGUCAUUAAUUUAACAAAAAAAAUUAGUGAGGGGAUAACGAAAAAAAAAUUAUAGGGUAUGAAAGUAAUACACUUUAAAUCACAGGUACUAAAUUAAAAAAGUACGAAACCACAAUAGUGGUAUUUGAAGGUUUUUUUUUUUAUUUUACUCUUUUUGUUGUCUUUUUCAGCCUAAUUGUCAUACUAAUAUAGUCAAAUUUGUUAUCGAAAUGAGUAAAGUAGAUAACGUACUACCUUUCUCUCCCUGAAAUAAAAUAGAAUAUUUUAUUAAUUUGGUGUGAAACGAAUUUUUAAUAAAUGAUAACUGAAGUUAUAUAAGAUGGAAUAAAUUAAUAAUUGGGAGGAGUGGCGCAUUCGAUGGUUUGGUGAAUGUGGUGCAGGCAAAAAUUUUCUCCAAUAUGGGGGGAGGAUUUUUGAACUGAGGUCGGCAGCUGCAGGUGUUAAUUAGCACGCCUGUACGGGAAAUGAACUGCAGGGCCUUUGGACUAUUCACCUAAAUAUGUCCUUUUUAAUGUAAUUUAAUCCACAUGCUUUGGGGCUUAUUUUUGCCCUUUUUUGAAACUUUUUUUAAACUUUUCUGCUUUAAAAAUGUGGUGUGUAUAUAUAUAUAUAUAUAUAUAUAUAUAUAUAUAUAAGAAAUGCAAUAUAUGAUAGAGUAUACACAUAGUACUUUUUCUAAAAGUUAUAAAUGUUUGAUUUCGUCAGUCAGUCGUAACAUAGUAUCAAAAAUGAGAAAUUAAAUAAAAUAAGUUUAAAAGUUUAAAAUUUUAAAUAUCAAAGGUAUGAAAAUCAAAAUAAAAUCUGAUCAAAGUUAUGAAGACUAAUGGUACACUUUGAACUUUUCAAUAAAUAUACUAUGUAUUCUUAGAAUGAAAUUAGGAUAUCUUUUAUAGUAAAAUACGUAGUGUUUAAUAACGGGCGGAGUAGUAUUAGUUUAAGGGUUAGAAAAUUAAAAGCAAAUGAUCUUGAGCUCAUUUCCAAACCAAAUAUGAGCUAGCUCAAAAACACGAGCUGUAUUGCUAGCGCUACCUACAGAUUAUAUACCAGUUAAAAUAGAUUAGCGGCUAUUAGAAAUAAUUCUUACUCCGGAGUAAGAACUGGUGCAUAUUAAAGGACAUUUUUCAAGUUUGCCGUAAUGUAUGUAUGUUUGCUUAUUAUUAAAUGACGUGAAACAUCUAGUAUAGGGUGAUAUUUUAUACUUUUAUAAUAUUUUUAUAUUUAAUAUUUUAUCUCAGUAGACAUUUUGAGAGGCCAGGUCGUCCACUUACAUGUUAGGCUCAAGAUAUUUUAAUAGGUCGAUGAUGUGAAUUUAAUUAAAUAAAAAAAAAUUAAAUAAGAUGGGAACUUAAAUAAUACUAGAAUCUGAUGGGAUUUGAACUCAAAUUUCAUUUCUUCGAUAUUAUGUUAAAUUAUGUAAAAUAAUUAUUAUUUCAAAAACUUAAAUUAGUAAGAAAUGAUAUUUUUGUAUUUAGGGUUAAUUUCACAUAGCUUCCCGUAACAUAUCGAAUAGUAAAUACAUCUCUACAAAAUUCAACAUUUUCAUAUUUAUUUCUGCAAAAAUUCGGUGAUAUUUAUAUUUGCAUCUUUAGUUUGUUACCGUUAUAAUACUGUUUAAUUUUUAACAGAAAAUAUGUGAAAUGACAUCUUUCUUAUUACAAAUAUUUUCCUUCAAAAGCCCUAAUUGUUAGAAUUAUAUAGAAAUAUUUUUCAAAAAAAUCUCUAACGGUCAUGUUAUUCUUUUCUACCGUCACAAAUAAUAUAUGAUAUAGGAGGAGUAAAAAAGUCAAUUUAUCUCAUUCACUAAUCAGGGUUAAAUAUUUUAACUUUGAUUGACUAUAUUUUUCUAAGAAAUCCUAACCGCAGGGGUAUAUUUAAAAAUAUUAAAUUUUUUAUAAAAAUAAAUAUAAAAAUUAAAUUUUAUAAAAGAUAUAUUUAUUGUUCCAUAUAUUUAUAUGAAAUUGUAUACAAUUAAUUAAUCCUUGCAUAUAACACCUAUGCUACUGCUUGAACUUGCAAAUAUCAAAUAAAAAAAAAAAAGGGGCAAACUUCUAAUACCAUCUCUCUGGUUUCGCACUUUCUCACCUUAGUACCCUGUGGUUUAAAGUGUAUAAAGUUACUGUGUAAGUUUCAUUUUUAUAUUUUCAUCAACUUUUUCGUUAAAUUAUAUACAAAAUACUUCAGAUACAUCACUUAAGUUUAUCAAAUAUUCAUUUUAGUACCCUUUAGUUUUAACUUUGUCAUUGAUUUAACGAAAAAAAUUAGUAAAAUCGAUAAUAAAAGAAUAAAAAUAAAAUCACAAAAUGUUAAAUUGAUAUAUUUUAAAUCACAGAAUAUUAUAGUAAAUAAGAUUGAAACUAUAGAAAUAAGGGAAAACUUCAAAAAACCCCCCUGUGGUUUCGUGCAUUCUCACUUUGCUACCCUGUGGUUUAAAACGUAUCAAUUUGCCCCCCUGUGGUUUCGUUUUUAUCUUUUUGUUAUCAAUUUUAUUAUUAUUAUUUUUUAAAAUCAGUGACAAAGUUAAAAUUAAAGGAUACUAAAGUGACUAUUCGAUAAAUAUAGAUGGUUAUCUGAAGUUUUUUGUAUAUAAUUUAACGAAAUAUUAACGAAAAAGCUUCCGAAAAGAUAAAAAUGAAACCAUAGGGGGGUAAAUUGAUACGUUUUAAACCAGAGGGUAGCAAAGUGAGAAUGCACGAAACCACAGGGGGGGUUUUUGAAGUUUACCUAGAAAUAAUAUUGAAAGUUUUUCCAACAAAAAAAAAAAAGAAAAAAGAAAAAAAAAAGAAAAAGAAAAAAAGAGAGAUUCGUCGGUUUCGAAGAAGAGUCCCUCUGCCAAAACCGGCAGUACUUCGCACUCAGGCCUCAGCAGUCAGCACAACGCAGCACGCCGCCAGCUUAGCAAGCAAAGAUUGCGAGUACGGACUCACGUGGUCCAGGUACCUUUUUAAGCUUCCCAAUGGAGUUUAAAAAAAAAAAAAAAAUCAAAUAAUCACCCAUAUUUAUUUAUGUUUAAUAUUUUUUAAAAAAAUUGCUUCUUUUAGUUAAUUAUUUGGUAAAUUAUUAUUUUUUUGCUACUUAAAAAGGUCAAUUCAAAAUGCACGCAGAUACAAAAGAAACAAAAAAAAUAACUUUAAGCAUGGCUUAGUAGUAACUAAUAAUGUAGUGUUUGGUUGUGUAUUCCAAAAAAAAAAAAAAAAAUUGCUGAAAAAUAUUUUAUAUCUCAUUAAUUUUUAAAAAAUUAAAUUUUUAAUUUUUUAGAUUGUUACAAAAUUAGUUUUUAUUUUUUUAGAAAAUAAUUUUUUAUGCAUUUUUAAAAAAUUAAAUACUAAUGUCAAUCAACUGAGCUUCGAAGUUAAAAUCUCUGAUACCAACUACCAAACUUUUUACCACUUAGGUUAGAAACAAUCGGCAAUCGAUCACAAAUUAAAGCUUGUUAUGAGAAGUUUAGUGUUCAUUUGGUUCAACGUAAAACCAUGAAAACUAAUUUCUGGUGGGGAAAAAAAUUUACAUUUUGUUGUGUUUGGUUUGUAUUAAGAAAAAUAAUUUUUUAUCAAUAUUUAUUUGGUUGAAAGAAAAAAAAAAAAAUUCACAUUUAGUUUGCUUGGUGGAAAAAACUAAGUAAAAAAAUAAAAUAAAAUUAUACAGCUUGACUUUUCGUUUUCCGUCGAAAAAUAGUAGAAAACAAAAACUCAAUUUUUAUCCAAAUUCGUAAAAUUAUUUUUACGAAUAAAUAUUUUUAUGCUCGAACCAAAUUAACAAACAACAAAAAAGUAUUUUUCGUAUCGAAAAAAAAAAAAAAAAUCGGUUCAUUUUAUGCGGAACCAAAAUUUGAACCCUCCAAAACAUUUGAUUGAGAAACAUUAUUUGAUUGAAAAACAUUUAAUUAUGAAUGAUUUUUUAUUUUUUAUUUUUUUUUGUUUUGGCCCCGAUUCAAUUCUAAUUCUACAUUGUGGUGGGCCCCACAUGUCAUUGAGACCGUUUGUUUCUUGCUUCAGAGGUACCGACCAUUCCAGGGCUCGUUGCAUGAAUCACUUCACGUUGUCCCCCGCUUUCGCGCUCUCUCCGCCGCUCAUCGGAAAUAAAUUUAAAAAAAAAAGAAAAAGAAAAAAAAAAAAGGCGUGCUUCUCGCGCUUUUCCGAAAAGCAGAUAAAAAAGAAGCACUCCACUGCUUCUGCUGCGCUGCUUCCCGCAGCCUUUUCAUUUCUCCCUUUCUUCUUUUCUUUUUUUUUUUUUCGAAUUCUCGUACUCUCUUUUUUUUUUUUUUUUUUUUUUUUUGGAAGGAUGAAUCCUUGCAACGAGCGUGCGCGCGCUGGAUCUCAGCAGAUCGUGGUAGUAGGGCCACUUUGCAGUUUAUAAUGUUCCGUAAUGUAUUUAAGUCGUCUACAAAGAAUUCUGCUUGUCGUCCCCAUGGAAUUGAGCUUUACGGCGGCCGCCUGCCGCUCGUCUGCCGCGGGAGCGCGUCCGAAGAGUACUCGUACUUUUUAUUCUUUCUAAUUUCGAAGGUCCUUAAAUCAUAUAUUGUAGCAGGCCUCUAAUUUUACGUACAUAAUUAUAAUAAAAAUGGUUGAAAUCGACCGUUCCUAGCGUAAGUGACAAACUGCUUAGUGGUUGAUACUUAAGAUCCCAAGUUUGAAUUCUAGUUGAUUCACAUUUACAGUUAAGUUUAUUUAUAAAUGAAAUAAAACGAAAUAGACAGCAUGCUAUCUAUCUUUUAAAAAAAAAUAAAAAAAUAAAAAUGGUUGAAACUUUUAAAAGGACCAAUAAACAAUAUAUUUGGUAAAUUAACAAGAAAAAUGUUAAAAAUAAAUUAGUUAAUUAAUUAAGGUAAAAAUGUAUAAAACAUAUCCCAACUAUCACUUGAAUUUGACUAUCUAGCUUUUAAAAAAUAUUGAUUUUACUACCUAACCUCGUAAUUUAUUUGAUUUGAGCUAAUUAACAAUAUUUUAAAUUUUAAAUUUUGAAUGUAUCGUUUAUCUUUACGAAUUCAGUUAUAAUAUUUUAUAUAAUUUAUAUAACUAUAAGUUCAUUAAUAUAAGCGAUUAGCUUAAACUUUAUAUCAGAUCUUUCUUAAGAAUCGAAAGCUUGAUCCCCUACAAUCCUCCCGUGCUUUUAGAUUCGCGCUUGUUCUUGCAAUGAACAGGUUGGAUCAACACGCAGUUACAAUAUAUCGUGGGCCUCCGACGGAAUUAUGGGCCGGCCCAGUUACAGCAUGUUCAUGAUUAAACUCAUCAAAUCAUGAAAAUAGUGGUAGACCAAAUAAAUGUUCAUAAAGGAUUUGAGGCUGUAAUUUGAUCAUCAUAGAAACUUCCUUGAUCAAUAGGGUGGAUCGAGAAAACAGCAAUGGCGACCGCAACCGGAGCUGAACAUGCAACAGCAAUCCAAGGAUUCUACGCUCGCUUCGUAAAAUUUGCUCCGUUUCGUGCUUCUAUCGUAUAUUUUGCCACGCGCAUGACAUGAAAUUGAAGGGAGACCAAUUAAACACCAUAAAUAAAGUAGUUCGAAUAUUCCCUCCGAGCUCCGCUUUCGUUUAUCUUUUGAGGCACCCAUAAUUGGACGGAUUUUCUCCGAGUCCUUGUACUUUGAUUUUUCAUGUGUAUUGACUCAUUCUGUCGCUCAUCAGCAACGGAAUAUAACCGCCCUGACCGUAUCAGAUGACCUGAAUCCAUCCUGCAGCCGAUGAAUAGCGGAACUGGUGGCUUGCACGGAAUUCCACACUCAACCCUUGAAUUGUUACAUCUUGGGCUGUUUUUUGAGCCCAACUAUGACAAUUGUUGGGUUGAUCCAACGUGACUACGUUUGGAAAAGGUACUAAUAAAAACAAAAUCAUUUUGGUUCAGUUCUUGGUAUUGUAGGUAGUGAUCUGUUAUACCUAAAUUGAUACAUGACCUGGACCUUUAUGCCUACUCCUAGAACAUUCCUAAAGGAUGUGGACUUGUUAAAGAUCAUUUCCAUGACAGGUGCUUAUAUGAUCUAUCUUAUCUUAUUUAAAAAACAACCUCAUGUGUGCGCCAUGAACAAACUAAACCAUAAUAUUAUAUUUAUAUUUAUAUAUAUGGCUAUAGCUAGGGAAUUGAUAUGAAUCUAAAUCUCAAGUCUCAGAAAAAUCAAGCAAGUUAGGACUACUGCGCUCUUAUCGUUUUUUUAUCAGAUUAAUUGUUUAAUUGCCGUGCAUAGUACAUCACAAGAAAACAUUUGCUCUGAUAUUUUAUAUAUUUUACCAAAUGCCAACUUAGAUAUUUGCCCAUUGCAUGGUCCCAUAUGGUGGCUAGGAGAAUGAGACCCAUGCAUCUAGUGUUCUCUUCAAUUUAAUAAUAAUAGUACUAAUAAUAACUAUACCUUUCAUCUCAUCCAUUGUGAUCCCUGUUAAAUCAUUUCUGUCCAUAAUUGAGUUCCAUGCAAGGCCAAAAUAAUCUCUCUUAUCCACUCAAGGGCAAUACCCUCCCUACUUUUUGUAGAUAGAGAUGGGCAACUUUUAGGAGAGGGACACAGCUACAUGUUUAUCUACAUGAGUUUAGCUACUAUACUAUCGAUAGUAUCGUGCUAUUUAGUUUUUCGCCAUUCAUUCUAUUUCUUUGAUCAUUUUCAUAUGUUAGAUCAUACUAUUUAACCAAUCAUUUACUCAACCCUAGGAAACCACUAUCAUCCUAACUGCUCAUCCUUUCAUCCAAUGACCGAAAAUCUAAUAGCACCAGGCCUUUGAUACUAUUAAUAGUAUAGCAGCCUAAUUCUAUAUAUAUAUAUAUAUAUAGAGAGAGAGAGAGAGAGAGAGAGAGAGAGAGAAAGUAGGAUUUGUAUACUAUUAGGAGCACAGUAGUCUCAAUGCUCUAAAGCCGUUUUCGAUAACGAAACUUUCGGAUCGACAACCAGCUCCGUUAGACUUGAUCUAGCGUAUUUAAAGUAUUUAAAAAAUAAAUUUGUCAUUCUAUGAUAUUAUUUAUCUAAUAAUCGAAAGGAUUCAAAAUCAAUAAUUUUUAAUGAUUAAUGAAUGCCAUUUGAAAGUUUCAUGAUGUAAAACUAUUCAAAUCAGAUAAAAUUUUGAUAGAAAAUUUUUUAUACUAUCUACAAUAAGAUUUAUAUCUCUAAUCGAAAAUUUCAAUGCUAUAUCAUAACUUUUUGUUAGAUUUUUAUUUUCAACCGUCGAUUUUGAACCAUUUCGAUUAUUAAGUAAAUGAUAUCGAAAUGCCGCAAAUUUAUUUUCUAAAUACUUCAAGUAUAUAUAUGCUAUAUCAAAGUCUAACAAAACUGAUGGUUAAUUCGAAAGUUUAAUCAUAAAAAACGGCCUAAGACCACAAACGCCUCCGUACUAGUAAUAGCACGCAAGUCUAUACAUAUAUAUAAAAAACAAAAAAAGCAUGAGUCUUUGUUGCAUUCAAAGAGUAUUGGGGAUAAAUAAACCCCACAAAAAUCCCAUAUUGAAAGGCUCCAACUUGCAUUGAUAUGUCACAUCAUCAAAGGUACUGUGUAAAGGGUGAGACCACAUCCAACCAUUUGGGUCUUAAACAGGGAGCUUGGUUUACUAGUGCACUAGUUGCUUGUUUUAUUAUCCUCUAAAGACCCACAUUCUCCCUCUUUGCAUUGCACCCACUACUGAUGAGAGAAUAUAGAUGAAUAAGAGAAGAUAAAAAUAAAUAGAUGAGUACUAUUACCACACUACAACUAACUCUGAAUAAUUUAGUCAUUUUUUUGUUUAAAAAAAAACAAGAAAAACCUUAAGCCACUAGAGAUACAAUAGGAUUUGUUAGCUGGAAGACUUAGUCAGGUUUGAAUCGAGUAAAAGCUGCCUAAGCUAUUAUAAAUCGGUGGUUCGAAGUGCGAAUAUGACAAUCUGGUAGAGCGAUUUUAGUAUCACAGUGAUGGUUCCAACAAAGUCCUUUCUAAUAACUACGCGACGCGAAACACCUCAACAACAACCUUGGGAAUAAUGUGAAUGACAAAUAUGGGUUAACAAAACAAUGCUAAUUAACCCCAUUAAGCUUAAUUAUGGACACAAUGCCACACUAUUCUUAAUUAAUAACCAUAUACAUGCUAAUUAAUAUGUAGGGUUCCUAGCUACAUGCAGGUAUAUACUGUUGAACAGCAUAUCCAUACAUAGUGGGGUUGUGAGUUGUCACAAUUGUGAACUCAUCCAAUCAAGUUGCUCAAUUGAUAACGUUCCAACCAACUCAGAUAAUAUAAAGAGCAAAUUAAAAAGUAUGGUUCCUUCAUAUCCGAAUAAAAAGAUUCGAUCUAUAUAUAUAAAACCCAGAGUGUUGUAGGGUUCUUUAUUUUGUUCAUUAAGCUAGUAGGUGGUGCAAGGAUAGUUUAUAAUGGGGAUCUUUUAAUUUUCUUUUUCUCACACUUACUUUUUAAUACUAUAAUAUGGAGUAAGUUAUAAACUAGUUAUAGAAGAUUAGGAGUGUGAAAUAAAGUAGAGAGGGCCAGUUCACGUCUCCAAAAGAAAAAGAUAUUAACGUGAAAAGUCACGUGGGUUAUAUUGCUCAACUACCAUUUGGAUCAAUUUUAUAUGAAAAGAAAAAAGUUUAAAAAAAAAUUGCAUCCUUUUGACCACUUAAUUUUUUGUUUCCAUAAACUUUUGGAUUAAAUUUUAAUAUAAGGGUCAAAAUGAAGAAUCUAUAAUAUGCAAUGCUAUAACUAAGACACGUACAAAGUAUACUCUCAAAAGUAAGUAGACAAAUAAUGUUGCGUUCCACAUUUGAUUUUCAAAUAAACCUAAAAUUUUUUAAAAUGGAUAUUUUUAACUCCCGCAUUUCAAAGUUGGGUCUUAGUUUCGACUUUCGAGGGCUCAACGAUAAAAAAAAAAAAAAACAUACCAACCGACACAUAAAAAAGCGAGCGAGUACUGAGCAACGCACGUCAUUAAUGAUGUUAAAAUGAAAUUGGCUUUUCAGAGAACCAGAAAAAAAAAAAAAAGAGAUUUAUUUAUUGCCCCGUUCAAAUUGAAUGAUGCAGAUACAAAUAAAUUCUACUGCUGAUGAACGACAAAUUUGUCUUGUAUAUAGAAUUUCUAUUCGUAGGUUGUAGGAACUGUUGAAUGUACUAGGUGUUUUAGUACUUCUCAUAUAUGACAUCCUACAAAUACGAAAAUAAAGUUCUUAAAAUAAACACUCAAUUUAUUAGAUAUAUUUUGCAAUAUUCCAAAGACCAAAAUGUCAAAAACUGUAACUUUUGGACAUUAUUUUAUUGUAAAUCGGCUAGUUCUUGAGAUUAUUUGAUGCCAUAGUGAUGGAUAUAUGUUUAAAUUUUAUGAGAAUUUUUUUUUUUUUGUUAAAGUAGGACCUUUUAACAUUGUGUGAGGUGCACGGUUACACCGGGUGCAAAGCGGAUCUCUAACAUCCGACCCGUAUACAACACACCCCACCCACCACCACCACCACGUGAUCCACGCGGCCGUGGAUCGGGGCCCACCUACGGGAACAGAACGUAAUGCUGACGUGGACCCAUCCUGGCCCUCCAUCGCGAGGUACCUGCACUGUGGAGGGUUGGUGGAUCCCUGUUGGGUUCGGUGUGAACCCGUUCCGUAAUCCCGUCCCGUUCGGUUCAUGAAUGUACCUUCCACCGACCCCGUGGACCGCGAGAAAUGCUUGCAUGGACCGAGUGUAUUCCUCUCAUGCACCGUAUUUAAUAUUUCCCAGCAAUUGCAGCGAGAUCGUGUUAGGUGUGGUCGAAAAUAAAGUAUUUGAUUUAUUUCUUAAGCCAUUUGUCUUUAUCGUAAUAAGUCAAUUACGAAAUCAUUUUGCAGCUCUAUCAAAAAUAUAUAAUUUUUUUUCCCAAUCGUUUUAUUUUAUGACAUCGAUUAAUUCCCAAUACCAAAUGGACUCUUAACUAACAAGUCAAAAGAAAAAUUAUUUGGAUUCCAACCAAGAUCCACUAUGUGCAUAAUACAACUUAAUUAAUAAUACGUCCAAAACACGUAAAUAAAAUUCCUUAAUUAGGAUUUCACAGGAGUAGUACGUACAACAUCGAUUAUCAAUUCAGAUGCUCCGUCAUCGAAAUUGAUGGUGAAGCUGAGAUCUAGGCAAUAUUCAAAUUUAUCGUCUUCUGUUCUAAUAUCAUACUAAAAUAAUAUAAUUUUUUUAAAAAAAUCAAAUAUUAAUCUCAUAUAUAUAUAUAUAUAUAUAUAUAUAUAUAGAAUUAGGCUGGAAUGCUAUUAAUAGUAAAACGUUCUUUUUACUAUUAAGUUUUUAACCCUUGGGUGAAAAAUUGUAGGGUCAGGAUGAUAUUAGUCGGUUAGAGUUGAGUGGUCCCCCUAGGAUUGAUUGAUCCCCACUGGGUUAUAGUAUUUAAUCCAAUGGUUAGAAAUAAUAAAAAGAGUUGAUCCAAAGGCUAAAAAAUUGGUAGCAACAAUGGAAUUUUGCUACUAAUAGUAGUCGAGUCCAACUCUAUAAACACGGAGCCAAUCCAAGGUAAAUAAUAUCGAAAAAUCACAAAAUUUAUUUUCUAGGUACUUCAAAUACUCUAGAUCAACUCUAACGGAGCCGAUCGUCGAUUCGAAAGUCCGAAUAUCGAAAACAACUUAGAAGCACAGAGGGCUCCGUACUUUCAGAAACAUACCAGCCCCCCCUCUCUCUNCGUAUAUGUAUGUCCGUACGAGAUUUUGUAGUGUAAAUACGUACGUAAGUGCGUGGCGACUUAUUAGGCUCGUGUUACGGAACGUUGAGGUUGUUGUUUCAAACAUGGUGUUUGGCACGUGUGGGAAGAGAUUUUGAACAUUAUAUUCACGCAUUUUUCUUAUUUCAAAAUAAAAUUAGUUAAAAUAUACUAUAUAUGCAUCUACAUGAUGUUACACUGGAAUAUACUACGGAUAAAUUAUUUAUAAAUAGUAAAUGAAUAUUUUUAAUAAUUUUAUGUUAUGUGAUAAUAUUUUGAAUCACAUUCAUUUAUCUAUGGAUGAAUCAUAUCGUGCGAAGGAGAAAGCGAAUUUUUCUUAAAUAAUUUUUCCUUUUUUCUUUUUUUUAGUCAACAUUGUCCACGUUGGAGCCGUGCACCGCAUCAUCAAGAUGACAUGUGCACGUCUAACGCAUGCAUGUACCGUAAAAUACCGGUUUAUGUCGCUUAUUUUAACUCCCCAACCCCGCGUACGCACGUUGAAAGAAUUAUUGCAUGCACCCCGCGUAUCGUACACACGCAAUCUUAAAAUACUAUUUAUAACUAUAGUUUAUUGAACAUUUUAUAGGAUAUUAAAAUUGCCCCGCUUAUUGAAAAUGGUAAAUUUUGAACACGUUAUUCUUAUGAGUUAAACAAAAAUCUUAGCUACAUUGUGGAUUUUUACGUAUAUCUCAAGCUUUAUUGCACACUUUUUGUAGUAAAAAUACUAUUAAUUUUUGGGGAUUUUUUUUUUAUCAUAUACUGUACUUUUUGUAGUAAAAAUACUAUUAAUUUAUUUUUCUCAAUCUCUACAUUAUAAAUAAUAAAUUCAUAAUCUCAGACAAAAUCUUGCAGCUUUAUUAAAAAAAAUACUUGUUAAAAUAGUAAAGUAUAUAUUCAGCUCAUUUUGACUAAAAAAAAUAUAAAACUGUAUAUGUAGAAUUAUCCGAAAAAAAGCCUCUAAUAAACCUAUGAUACUCUUAUAGUUUUUAAUAAUUGUACAUAAUAAAUUGGACUGCAGCAUUUUGAGUUAUAGUUAAGCCCAAAAACGCUAAGAGGAUUAAACAUGCUACCAUUAAAGUAAUUCUAAAAUAAGUGACACGAGUUUAUUAUAUAGGAUUGUUAAUAUAGAACUCAUUUAAUCUAUAGGAUUGUUCGUUUUGAUCUAAAACAAUAAAUUUGCUGACAAUUAAUACUGCAUAACCUAGCAAGACAAGGGUAUAUAUAUAGUUUAGUGUUGUCCUUGAAAAAUGAAAAUUUAUUGAUAGUAGUAUAUAUAUUAUAUAUAAAUUAAAGCCCAGUGAAUAUACAAUUUUAUAUAUACACUAAAAGUUUCCAAAACUUGUGAUCUUUCGUAUAUAAUUUUCUUAAAAUGAGUAGUAUUCAUGACUACUCUAAACAUAUAUAUUAAGGUUAUCAUUUUCCUGGAUGUACGAAUUUUCAUACAUAAUCUCUGUAAAAAUGUUUGAUAACAUAUGGGUUGGAAUUUGAUUUUAUAAUGUUUAGUAUAUUGAAUAUAAAGAGCGGUGCAUAAAUUGUAGGGAAAACUUUAAAAAAUCCCCCUGUGGUUUCAUACUUUAUCAUUUUCGUAACUUGUGGUUUAAAGUGUAUCAAGUUAGUACCCUAUGGUUUUUCACUUUAUUACUUUAGUAUCCUGUGGUUUAAAGUGUAUCAAGUUAGUACUCUGUGGUUUCUCACUUUAUCACUUUAUUACCUGUGAUUUUAAUUUUGUAUUAAAUUAGUACCCUAUGAUUUUUAAACUACAAUGUACUAAAGUGAUAAAGUGCGAAGUUUAGUAAUAAAGUGCAAAACCACAGAGUACUAACUUGGUACAUUUUAAAUUAUAGGGUACUAAAGUGAUAAAGUGAUGAACUAUAGAGUACUAACUUGAUACAUUUUAAACCACAGAAUACUAAAGUGAAAAAAAAUUGAAAUCACAAUUUCAGUUUUAAAGUUUUCCCUAUAUUGUAUUGAUACACUUGGUGCAGGAUAUUUUUCCCGUGGAGUUUGGUUUGACCACGCAUGUCACCUGGUCAAACGGAGACCGAAAAUAUGAUAUGGCGAAAAUGACCAUCUCCGUAAUUUAUUGUGGAUAUAUAUAUUUUAUUUUACCCACAAUAGGUAUUAUAUUAAAUAUAAUCACAUUGUUCCCUUUCCUAUAUCACGAGAUAAAUUAAACAAAUUGUCUCAUAUUCUUAUAUAUUUGAAGUUCUUUAAUUAUGCUCAAAAUUUUGACUUUUAUUUUAAACGAGAUUAUAAGCACGCUUCUAGAGGCCUAUGUGCAUUUUAAUAAAAUUUGGAUUUAAAAAUAAGUAAAUGUAAUAAUGGAGAAAUAUAUUAAGCACAUGUGUGCACUAUUUUAUGCUUCAAUAAGAAAAAAGCCCAUAUUUUUUUGCUUGUUAAUUAAGAAUGCGUUGGUUGAAAUAGUCAAAGUGGGGAGAGGGGCGGCUCAUGUGACGUGGCCCCUCCCUUACCACCGGAUUCAUGAUUAAUAAUUAAUAAUUAUUAAUUAAUAAAUUAAUUAGCACGAGGCCAAAAGGAUAUGGUGGUGGAGGCCAAUCUCUCGAUGCCCAGUUGUUAUGUUCAACAAAUUUUUAUUAAAAUAAAUUAUAUAUUUUUUGCAAAAAAAAAUUUUAUAUAUUAAAAUUAUUUGCUAAAUCACAUAAUUGUAGGUUCUAUUUGAGCCUUUAAAAUCUCAUUUGUGAUAUUUACUGUCGCAAAAACAUUAACAAUUAUUUUUAUUAUUACUAAAGUUUAGUGCACGUCAUUAUGCCCGAGCACACAAAAAAAAUCAUCACAAUUAUACGUACAUAUGUUCUUAUGUUUUAAUUUUUAUUCAAAUAAUUUUAUUAGUUAAGAUUUUUUUUAAGAAAAAAAAAUAGUAUACUAUCCCCUACAUUUUUUUUUAUAUGAAACAAAUGAUUUCCAGCUUAAAACUUUAGAACAUCAAUUAUUAAACAUUAUAUUAUUAAAUAACAAAAAAAUAUUUAUUAAAUAGUAUAUUAUAUAUAUAUAUAUAUAUAUAUAUAUAUAUAUAUAUAUAUAUAUAUAUAUAUAUAUAUAUAUAUAUAUGGGCAUUUUUUAAACUGUGUACACGAAUUAAUUAAAAUUUUUAUAUCAUAUAGUUAAACAAAUCAGUAACUUAUAUAAAAAGAACACUUUUGGGUGACUCGAUCGUAGCAGUACUAUCCGUAUCAUCAUGCAACCAUGUAAUUAAUAACAAGUUAUCCUCCAUUCAUCCAAUAAUUCUACUUAAUUUAAUCCCUAGCUCUUGUCCUUUUAAAACGUCUGGUCUUUUUGGCGGCCUAAUUGUGGAAAUACUGAUUCUCUAACGAUUCUUCUUUUUUUUUUUGGUAACUUUAAAUUGUCUUGGCGUUUGAGACCUUGCAUGCAUGCUUUUUAUUUUCAUUAUAAUUAUAAAGUCUCAAAUUAAUGUUUUGUUCUUAGAUGUAUAUUCAACUUUAUGUUGAAAACUUAAUUCAGGUAAUUAGAAUUUUGCCCUUAAAAUUUGACCUUAAUCUUGUUUUUAUACUCAAGAGUACUGAUUUUAAUAAAGAAAAAAUAAAUAAAUUUAAUGAUAGUGGUAGAUGAAGAAANCAACGUACGGUUACAAAUAGGCUAUUUAAAUCUUUUAAAAAUUAAAUUUUUUACCUAAAUAAUAUUAUAUCUUAUCUUAUAAUUUCUUUUUUUGAGAGAUAGAUAGCACGCAACUCGUUUCGUUUAUUUCAUUCAGAAAUAAACUUAGUUAGAAAAGUGAAUCAAUUAGGAUUCGAACUUAGGUCGCGGGUACCAACCACCAAGUCUUUUGCCACUUGCUCUAGGGACAGUCGGUCUAAUCUUAUAAUUUCUAAAAAUUAAAUAAUAUUGAUUAUCACUUAGGAUGCAUUAUUAUUAGCAAUAUUAUUAACAAUGACUAAAAAAAAAGGGGCUCGGUUUACUUUUUUAAACCCUUCGUAGUUUUUCUUGUCCCUUCUAUUUCAUUUUCUUUGGCUUUUAUCGGUUCAUGAGUAUAUUUAGUAACUAAAUCAAAUAAAUUGAAGAUCUAACUAAAUCUAACUAUGAUUAUAUUAAAUUUAAUGCAUAUUUUUUAGCAAAAAAAUCCUUAUAUCUAGUAACUAAUAUAAAAUAUUCAGUAACCCAUUUGGUAAAUAGAAAUCUAAAGAAAGAUAAACAAAAAUAAUAAUAAUUUUCAAACUUUUGAUUUUGCUAAAAGAGAAAUGCUGAUAAAAAAAUUUAUAAAUAGUAUUUAUGGUAACAACACUAAUCGAAUAGUGCCAAAUUGAAUAAGAGUAUAAUACAUGCAUUGCUUAAAAUGUCACAAUAUUAAUACAAAAUAAUGUUCUAACAAUUUUACAAGUAUAAUAUUUUUGACAUUAUUUUAAUUAAGUAUUACUACUUUAUUCUUGAUUAGAUAUUAAUCAUCUCAUAUAAUUCAAUGAGAAUGAAUGUAAUCUAAACUAAUUUUGUUGUGUUUCUUUGAAAANUUUUUUUUUUGAGAGAUAGGUAGCACGCUACCCGCUUCGUUUAUUUCAUUUAGAAAUAAACUUAGCUAGAAAUGUGAAUCAACUAGGAUUCGAACUUGGAUCUCGGGUACCAAGCACCAAGCUUUUUGCCACUUACUCUAGGGACGGUCGGUAAAAUUAUUUUUCUUUCGCUUUUUGUUUGUAUAGUUGUGUAACUAAAGUUCUUCCAAUUAUAUUAUUUAGGCUAAAUUACAGAAAACCCUCCUGUAAUAACUCGCUUUUUCACUUUUCCCCUCUGACAUUUAAAAACCUACAUUUUGUCCCACUGUAAAAUAAAAAAUGUUCACAAGGGGGUUACGGUGUGUAAAAUAACCAUUUUGUCCCUUGCCAUUGUCGUCUUCUUCCCCAUCUUCCUCAACCGCCCUUUUGUUCGGCCGUGAUUCCCACCUCAAUCGGCCACGAUUUCUUUCCAUUUCCUUCUUCACCUGCUCCCCUUCUCCUCCUGCACCCUCGCCGCCCUCGAUUUCGGCUACAGUAGGAGAAAACCGAGGUGGGCAACAGUAGGAGAAGGGCAAAGAAGGCGAAGGCGAGGCGGCGGAGGACAACGAAGGGGAUGUGGGUGAGGGCGAGACAGUGGAGGACGACGAGGCGGCUAGGCGGAGAGGCGGCAAGGUGGCGAGCCGGAGGGAGUCGAAGCAACAAGGAGAUGGCGGAGGGGUAUUUUCGGCAUAAAAAUAUAUUUUUUAACGGAACCCUAACGGUAGGGGGUGAAGUGUACAUUUUUUAUUUUACAGGGAGGUAAAGUGUAGGUUUUUAAAUGUCAGGGAGGGAAAGUGAGAAAGCGGGUUAUUACAAGGAGAUUUUGUGUAAUUUAACCUAUUAUUUAUUUGUUAGGAAGUGAAUGACGUAAAAACGGAAGGUGUGAGAAAUAAUUUAAUUGAUAUCAAUGCUUUUUUUGAGAGCAUGAGUUUCCACUAAUGGUAAAUUUACGGUGAACCAAACAACCAAAAUAAAAAUUUAC
rnacentral:lncRNA from 1 species